rnacentral:rRNA from 1 species
ACAAGCGGUGGAGCAUGUGGUUUAAUUCGAUGAUACGCGAGGAACCUUACCUGGGCUCAAAUGCAAGUUGACGUAUGGUGAAAGCCGUAUUUUCUUCGGACAAUUUGCAAGGUGCUGCAUGGUUGUCGUCAGCUCGUGCCGUGAGGUGUCGGGUUAAGUCCCAUAACGAGCGCAACCCCUAUCAUUAGUUGCCAUCAGGUCAAGCUGGGGACUCUAAUGAAACUGCCUACGCAAGUAGAGAGGAAGGUGGGGAUGACGUCAAAUCAGCACGGCCCUUACGUCCAGGGCUACACACGUGCUACAAUGGCCAGUACAAAGGGCAGCUACCUGGUGACAGGAUGCUAAUCUCAAAAGCUGGUCUCAGUUCGGAUCGAAGUCUGCAACCCGACUUCGUGAAGCUGGAAUCGCUAGUAAUCGCGCAUCAGCCAUGGCGCGGUGAAUACGUUCCCGGGCCUU